rnacentral:lncRNA from 1 species
UCUUUACUCCCGCUGUUGACAUAAGGGUGUGAUUUCAUACUUCCAUUCGUGGGAUGAUUUUAGGCUUUAUGUACAAAGUUAAGCUCAUUCAAUUGCAACCCUGGAAACUGAUCAAAUAAAUAUGAGUCUACUCCCGACCUAUAUGCCAUAUUUGCCAUAUUCAGAAAGUAUUAGUAAAAGAGUGUUCAGCAUUGUGAUUAUUGUCUGCUGCAGCAAACUAGCUAUGCCGACAUGCUAGAUUUAGCUGUUCAACAUAUUAAAGGUCUUCAGACACAAGUUCAGGUCAGUUUAUGCUCUACAUCCACUUUUUUAUGCAUUAUAACUUCCUGUUCUCCAGUUGGUUAUGAUAUUUAGAGUCAGGUUUACAUCCAAAUAUUGUCAGCUAUGUGUGCGCUAUAGUAAAGUACUCACCUUGUGUCCUCUAUUUGAAGUCCUUAAUCAUAUUUGUGUCUUAGAUAGAACUCAUCGGUACACUCAUCGUUUAGCACCUAUUAUAAUAUUGAGCAGUCUUUGUCAUAACGAGGUACUGGACAGCAGUAUAAUUCUAGCUGGUAUAAGUUAAAUAGUGACAGGCUUAUCAUAUGACUUACAAUUUACACUGAUAAAUGGUUUGAUGUCUGAACAUUAUGUUAAAAGAUUUUAAGUCUCAGAAUAAAAAUUGAAAAAGUUUCAACUAAAAUACUGAUGUAAUCCAGAGAAGAGAACUCUAAAAUUUACCAAUGCUGGCCUUCAAACUCUUCUAAGAGUUGUUCGUUAUAAUUGUGUAUUUCCAGGAUUAAGGCAGUGUCCUAGUUGAUGUCCCCAGAGUUCCGUGACCAUUAGGCUUUUAGAGUCGUAUUUGCAGGAUAAGGCAGAGUUGUAGAUUGUAAAUCCAGAGUUUCGUGACCAAAAGGCUUUAGAUGCUUUUAUUUUUUUCAAGUAGUGGUCAGUUACAGAAAUGUAUGCAGUCACUCACCCCAACUCCACUGAGGUUCAAACUCUGGAUAGCUUGUUACCAAAGAGUAGACAGCUAUCCACAAGGAAACCUAUCUUACUAAUAACAUAGAAAGGGGCAAGCCAAAACCUACUCCUAACAAGCAGCCGGCUUUUCAUCAGCCGUUGCGCGCUUCUGUUUUUCAGCAGGCUUCUUCAAAUAUCCCAUAAAUGAAGUAGGGGCUAUAACUUAUAAGUGUAAGUAGCUAGCUAUCGCGCUAGCGUUUUCCCUUACUAGUAAAGGGGCUGCUAGUUGUAGCGCGCCAGUGUACUGGUGAAUAGGAAAGGCGAAUUUAGAUGACUAAUGACGGAUGGAGGUUGAGGAUAGAACAUGUUCGGUGCCUCGCCCUUGUCUCCUUCGCCGGAGACUUCAAAUGCUGGGAAUCCUCUCGAUAAAGAAGAGGCAUAAGCAUUGCCUCUCGAUCCAAUCCGUCUUCCCUGCCUCCCCAACACACUCUGGAUACGAAAGAAACCUCCCGCCAUAGAGAAGAGAUCUAAAGCCUGGGUCCCCUCGAUCGCCCUCCCUUGAACCUGAACAGGUCGAGAGAGAUGAACCCGCACCACAUUUUAGAACCUUCGAACCGAAACCCCCAACUAGAGAUGGAAUUCAAGAACCUAAACAACUCAGUUGAGAGCUCCGCGACUGGUUCAAGGGAAGGUCCACCAAUGAUUGAUAGGCCCCCCUAUCCGUCUCUUGAUCCCUCAUUCCACUAAUCCGUUGUUACUGAUUCAUUCAAGGCAUAGACUCCCCACUUCUUUGUCUUAUUAGCGCAGGUGUUCAUCAACGAUGAAAGCCGCUGAACUUAAGACUCGAGUUGAGAAAGAGGGCUAGGCCACCGGGAGGGCUUUCAGGGACCGGGGGGGGUACUAAUAACAUAGAAAGGGGCAAGCCAAAACCUACUCCUAACAAGCAGCCGGCUUUUCAUCAGCCGUUGCGCGCUUCUGUUUUUCAGCAGGCUUCUUCAAAUAUCCCAUAAAUGAAGUAGGGGCUAUAACUUAUAAGUGUAAGUAGCUAGCAAUACCCGAGAUACAGCUUGUUUUUAUACCUUGUCAUACAAUAUACUAAUCCCUCUACCAUUACCUUUCCAAUUCGGUAAAUAUGCAAAUGAUAUUUCCCUAACUUUGGUUUCAGGAGAAAGGUACGCAUUAGUGUUAUUACUUUUUCAUGAGCCAUCAACUGGGUGAUCUUUUUAAUCAAUAUAUGAUAUGCUUCUUUGCACGAUUUUCUUUUUAACCAGUUACCAUUUUUGUUCUCAUGUUCUCCAGAAG